UCAGGCUGCCCAUGGAGGGGCUGGGGCAGGAUGUGAGGAUGCACGUGCCGGAUGGAGCCCAGGGAGGAUGGGAUGGAGGAGCUGGAGGGAUUCAGGGCAUAUGCGUAAAUGAUCUGGCAAUAAACAGAAAAUACAAGAGGUCUGUAAGCUUGAGUGCAGUAAAGCAGGAGUGUGAAUCCAAAAGAUGUGAUAGGCCUUGAGCAGAGUCCCAAAUCCCCCUGUUCUGCUGAAAAUGUGCACUUGGUGGUGAUGAGGACACCAGUAGCCUCUCUGCAUUUGGCUACAUCCCAACAUGAUUGAUGCUGAUUCCAGUCACAUUCAGCAUUUUGCAGGAAGUUGGAAGGAUUUGAAACUCAUCCAGGGAUUUGAAACUUCAGCAGUUUCUCUUCCUCUGAAAUACUUGAACCAGGCAAAGGAAAUUUUCAGGCUGCAUUAUGACCUUAAUUCCUCCUUUUUGCCCAUUAUCUCCUCAUUAUUGACCUAUAAUAAAUAUGAGUCCUUCAAGGACUUUUUUUCUCCCCAAAUCUCUUUAAGAAUGAAUGCUAGCAAUGUUGAAUCAAGGGCAUGGUGUCAAAUGGAAUAGUUUCAGGAUAAGCAGAGUUUUCUUUGAAUCUUGUUUAGAUGGGUGUAAUUUAAAAAAAAAAAAAAAGGCAAAGCUGGAGUUUAUAUCUAAGAGUGAGCUGCAAGUUCCCAUCAGUUAUUAACUCUUCUUUUCCCCCUAUGUAUCUUAUAGCAAAGCUAACCAUAACAGUAUUGUAUAAUUUCCUGUGUAAUAUGUAGUGUGAUAAAUUAGACUACACAAGUGGCUAUGUAUGACCAGCAGCAGCAAAGAAGUUAU